GCCCUACGGGUGGCAGCAGUAGGGAAUAUUGCUUAAUGGGCGAAAGCCUGAAGCAGCAACGCCGCGUGUGCGAUGAAGGCCUUCGGGUCGUAAAGCACUUUUUACCGGGAAGAGGAAGGACGGUACCGGUAGAAUAAGCCUCGGCUAACUACGUGCCAGCAGCCGCGGUAAAACGUAGGAGGCGAGCGUUAUCCGGAUUUACUGGGUGUAAAGCGCGUGCAGGCGGUUUGCUAAGUUGGGUGUGAAAGCUCCUGGCUCAACUGGGAGAGGACGCUCAAGACUGGCAGACUGGAGAGCAGUAAGGGAAGGUGGAAUUCCGGGUGUAGUGGUGAAAUGCGUAGAUAUCCGGAGGAACACCAGUGGCGAAAGCGGCCUUCUGGACUGUAUCUGACGCUCAGACGCGAAAGCUAGGGUAGCAAACGGGAUUAGAUACCCCGGUAGUC
rnacentral:rRNA from 1 species